rnacentral:rRNA from 1 species
UAGGGAAUAUUGCAAAAUGGGCGCAAGCCCGAUGCAGCAACGCCGCGUGAGCGAUGAAGGCCAUCGGGUCGUAAAGCCCUUUUUGAGGGGAUGAGGAAGGACAGUACCCUCAGAAUAAGCCUCGGCUAACUACGUGCCAGCAGCCGCGGUAAAACGUAGGAGGCGAGCGUUAUACGGAUUUACUGGGCGUAAAGCGCGUGCAGGCGGAUUGGAGAGUUGGAUGUGAAAGCUCCCGGCUUAACUGGGAGAGGUCGUUCAAUACUUCCAGUCUUGAGUGCAGUAGAGGGAAGUGGAAUUCCGGGUGUAGUGGUGAAAUGCGUAGAUAUCCGGAGGAACACCAGUGGCGAAAGCGGCUUCCUGGACUGUAACUGACGCUCAGACGCGAAAGCUAGGGUAGCAAACGG